GCCAGCAUGGUGUAGUGGGUUCAGUGUUAGACUACAACUCUGGAGAUCAGGGUUUGAUUCCCUGCUUGGCC